AAGGAUGAGAAGAAUCAGAGGGAACUUGAAUAGGCAGAUAUGUUUCCAGUCCAAGAGAAAUGUGUCUGGCUGAGACCCUGAGCUCUUCCCACCUCUGGGGCAGGACUGGUUGCAGUUGGUACCAUGUUCUGCAGCAAAAAGGGGACAAAUAAGCCAGUGCUGAUAUUGCUUACUAGUGGCACUGACUGAUCCUGGGAUCCAAUCCAAGAUGUUGCCUUUGAUUAAUCAGUCAUCUGAGGAGGAGAGAAACAUCUUCCAUCUUGUGUAGAAAUGCAGGUGCACUGAGGACCUGUAGCUCCACUUGAAGUCAACAGGUGAGGAAUAUUAAUUGAGACAAAGGUAGAAUGUUAACUGAGACGGAAAGGUGGCAGUAUCUGCAGAGGAAAAGAUAUGGGCCCUGAUCCUGCAGGCUGCGACCUGCAGGUUGACCCCUAUGCCCAUGGAGAGCCUCAGUGAGGUCAACAGUACUCUAGAUGGGCAUAGGAUUCUGCCUGCAAGGAAAAGCUCACAGAAUCAAGGCCUGCAUGAGGCUAUGACUGUUACCAAGAUGUCAGAAAGCACAGUGAAAGAAGGAAGAGAUAAGCUCUCUGUACUAUUGAAGCCCUGUUCUUAGUAUUAAUUUAUACAGCCACUAGUUAAGUAGCUGAGCUGAAAAUGCAUUUUUUAAACCAAAGCUUGUCCUUUAUUGGCAGCCUCCCAAGUCUAAAAGCCUGAUCCAAAACUCAGUGAAAUGGAAAGACUCCCACUGACUUCAGUGGGCUUUGGAUCAGGCCUUACAUGAGCAUGGAGAAUAACAUUCCAUGGCAGAGCCAGGGUCUAUGCAGCUGGAGAGAAAUGUCACGGAUGACCUAGACUGGGCUACAAAAAAUAUCUCUAGUGUUUCACAUUGUUAUUGUGCAACCAAAACAGCACACCCAGGGAAUCAGUCUUUGGCCACAUUCCCUUCAUGCAGCUUAAAACCUUUAAAUAAAACUAAAUAAGGAUCAGCUAUAAAUACAAAAUAAUAUAAACAGAGCAGAUUCUCUCUCUAGAGCUCUGUAUCCUGGCUUCUAGAGAGCAAACUAGAAAGAAACCCCUGAAAGAAACCCAGAUUCUUUAAGGUUCUGAGACUAACCUGGCUCAGCUGCACCUUACUGCCUCAGCUCAGAGAGGCACUUAAUAGAUGGGACUGUAAAAAUACCU